AGUUCCCACUCAUCCCUGAUGCCGGAGAAGUCCAGAUGAAGAGGGAACCCAUGAUAUGCUUCCUCAAAGAGCCUCAAAGGCUUUAAUAGCAACAACAAUGAAAAAGCAAGAAGGAUUUCCCAGGCGAGGAAGGUACCCACAGCCAUUUGGAGGAUGAAGCAGGCAACCUCUCAAAGCCGUGGACUCCUGGCCCCUCUGCUGUGCUGGUGGCAGACACAGGGGUCGUGCGUCCUCCUCCCAUUGUCCUGACCCUCUGCAACGGUCUGCCUACUGGCACAGUGGACUGUUUCCAAAUUAACACUAAUCUAAAAGAAUAACAUUU